UGCCAGCAGCCGCGGUAAUACGUAGGGGGCGAGCGUUGUCCGGAUUUACUGGGCGUAAAGGGCGAGUAGGCGGCCUUCCAAGUCCCAUGUGAAAUCUCCCGGCUCAACCGGGAGCGGUCAUGGGAAACUGGUCGGCUUGAGGUCAGCAGAGGAGAACGGAAUUCCCGGAGUAGUGGUGAAAUGCGUAGAUACCGGGAGGAACACCAGAGGCGAAAGCGGUUCUCUGGGCUGCACCUGACGCUGAGGCGCGAAAGCAUGGGGAGCAAACCGGAUUAGAUA
rnacentral:rRNA from 1 species